rnacentral:rRNA from 1 species
UGGCGGACGGGUGAGUAACGCGUGAGUAACCUGCCUCUAAGAGGGGAAUAACAUUCUGAAAAGAAUGCUAAUACCGCAUAACAUAUAUUUAUCGCAUGGUAGAUAUACCAAAGAUUUAUCGCUUAGAGAUGGACUCGCGUCCGAUUAGUUAGUUGGUGAGGUAACGGCUCACCAAGACCGCGAUCGGUAGCCGGACUGAGAGGUUGAACGGCCACAUUGGGACUGAGACACGGCCCAGACUCCUACGGGAGGCAGCAGUGGGGGAUAUUGCGCAAUGGGGGAAACCCUGACGCAGCAACGCCGCGUGAAGGGUGAAGGUCUUCGGAUUGUAAACUUCUUUUAUUAAGGACGAAGAAAGUGACGGUACUUAAUGAAUAAGCUCCGGCUAACUACGUGCCAGCAGCCGCGGUAAUACGUAGGGAGCAAGCGUUGUCCGGAUUUACUGGGUGUAAAGGGUGCGUAGGCGGCUUUGCAAGUCAGAUGUGAAAUCUAUGGGCUCAACCCAUAGCCUGCAUUUGAAACUGCAGAGCUUGAGUGAAGUAGAGGCAG